GAAGUGAACCUAGCGAACUCACGUGUAGCAAGACAGUUGAAUACCAAAUCCAGGUAGACUUUUAAAGGCGGUGAAACCGGUUUGUUCGGGAAUCAAAAAUACUAAUUCGAGCUGUGAGAAAAGAAAGCAUGCGAUCAGGGUUUUCGAUUAAAUUCUCAUCAAUUACUUGGAGUCCUUAAGUUCUUUCAACAUUGACAUGCUCGAACAUGGCGGAAGAUGACGAAUUUCACAAUAAGGAAGACGGCAACAAGAAAUUGUGGGGCAUUGUACUCUUCAGUUUGAUUGGCGCCACUGCAACCACUUUUGCGGUUGGACAACUAAGACAGUUUGGACGAACUGUUGACUGGAUUUCUGCCCAGAUGUCCAGGAUGCAAUCACAGAAAGGAGGAAGUGGUUCUUUUAGAUCGUCUUUCCAGGAGGAAGCACGUAGAAGGUACAGACAGCGGAUGCAAGAAGAAUAUGAAGAAGAGCUGGAGAGAGUGGAGCGUAUACGUCGUAUGCAAAGUGUGUUCAAUAGAGAGAGAAACAAGUAUAAAAGAAGCUAUGAGAGUUGGAGAGAGAAUGAGACUGGUGGGUAUAAUCAACAUUUUCAGAGGGAGGACUGGUAUUGGACAGCUGAGUCAUCCUUUAGAGAUCGGAAGGCAAACUAUAAACAGACGCCUCAACACAGUGGAUCUUAUUCUUUAUCUCGCCACUAUGCAGUCUUAGGCCUCGACAGGCUAAGAACAAAACCAUACACAGAUGAUGAGAUAAAGUCAGCCUUCAGGGCAAAGGCAUUGGAGUACCACCCUGAUCAGAACCAGGGUAAUAAAGAGGUUGCUGAAGAAAAAUUUAAAGAGGUAAUGAUGUCAUAUGAGGCUAUAAAAUCGGAAAGGAAGAUUGCAAAGUAGUAAACAAGUGGACAGAUCAAUGAGUAGUACACAAAUGUGUCUUGAAUACAUCCUUUGAGCUGUGUGGUUCAAGAGCAAGUGUUUUACUCUAGGAUGCUUCUUUCAUCGAUCGAUUCUGUCAGCUUCUCAAAGUGUGAGGGACUAACAUGUGAGCCCUUUGGCUUACCACAGGGUGUGACAAUAAAAACGAAAAUUUCAUAGAUGAUCCCUUUUAUGUAUAAAUCUACACUUGAGUAUAUAUGUAUAUUCUGGUGAUCAUCAAUGUUGUAGUGUUUAAGUGAACCAUCCUUAGGCUGUACCAUUUACCCAUUUGUUCAAAACAUCGACCGAAUCAUAGAGUAAAGACAGUUGGCGAUGUUUGAAGUUUUGCAGAAAACAUGCAGGUGAGAGACUUGGAUUCGAUGCUCAUCAAACUCACCUUGGAAGGAUUUCCCUUAUUUCCACCUCUCAAGGUGAGUGUUCACCUUACCAUU